rnacentral:rRNA from 1 species
GUAGCUACCAUGCAGUCGAACGGCAGCACAGGAGAGCUUGCUCUCUGGGUGGCGAGUGGCGGACGGGUGAGGAAUACAUCGGUAUCUACUUUUUCGUGGGGGAUAACGUAGGGAAACUUACGCUAAUACCGCAUACGACCUACGGGUGAAAGCAGAGGAUCUUCGGACCUUGCGCGAUUGAAUGAGCCGAUGUCGGAUUAGCUAGUUGGCGGGGUAAAGGCCCACCAAGGCGACGAUCCGUAGCUGGUCUGAGAGGAUGAUCAGCCACACUGGAACUGAGACACGGUCCAGACUCCUACGGGAGGCAGCAGUGGGGAAUAUUGGACAAUGGGCGCAAGCCUGAUCCAGCCAUACCGCGUGAGUGAAGAAGGCCUUCGGGUUGUAAAGCCCUUUUGUUGGGAAAGAAAUCCAGCUGGCUAAUACCCGGUUGGGCAUGACGGUACCCAAAGAAUAAGCACCGGCUAACUUCGUGCCAGCAGCCGCGGUAAUACGAAGGGUGCAAGCGUUACUCGGAAUUACUGGGCGUAAAGCGUGCGUAGGUGGUCGUUUAAGUCCGUUGUGAAACCCUGGGCUCAACCUGGGAACUGCAGUGGAUACUGGACGACUAGAGUGUGGUAGAGGGUAGCGGAAUCCUGGUGUAGCAGUGAAAUGCGUAGAGAUCAGGAGGAACAUCCAUGGCGAAGCAGCUACUGGACCACACUGACACUGAGGCACGAAAGCGUGGGGAGCAAACGGAUUAGAUACCCUGGUAAUCACGCCCUAAAGAUGCGAACUGGUGUUGGGUGCAUUUGCACGCAAUAUC